GGGCGCGUGGCGGAACUGGCAGACGCGUACGGCUUAGGACCGUAUGAGGCAACUUGUGGAGGUUCAACUCCUCUCGCGCCCA
rnacentral:tRNA from 1 species